rfam:Cajanus cajan Scaffold133784_3, whole genome shotgun sequence.
AUCUGGUGGUGAGGACAACUUGCACACAAUUUCUUGAAUCUCUCCCAGUACUCAUACAAGGUCUCUCUACCAAGUUUCUUGAUCCCUGGUAUAUCUUUUCUGAAGGU